rnacentral:lncRNA from 1 species
CUCCUCUCUCUCUCUGUCUCUCUCUCCUGUGAUCUAGUGCCUCAGACAACAUUGUGGAAUGCACAAGGAGAAUAUAAUCCACAUCCCAUUCAGGUAGUGAUCAGAUUGUCAUGCCAGACUAGUGGGAGUCAGUAUGCGACCCAAAUUGCACCCUAUUCCCUACAUAGUGCACUACGUUUGACCAGACCCCAAUGGGCCCAGUAACACAAACACUGUCAGCUCAUCUGGCCCUGUAACGCAAUCACUGUCAGCUCAUCUGGUCCCUGUAACGCAGUCACUGUCAGCUCAUCUGGGCCCUGUAACGCAAUCACUGUCAGCUCAUCUGGGCCCUGUAACGCAAUCACUGUCAGCUCAUCUGGGCCCUGUAACGCAAACACUGUCAGCUCAUCUGGGCCCUGUAACGCAAUCACUGUCAGCUCAUCUGGGCCCUGUAACGCAAACACUGUCAGCUCAUCUGGGCCCUGUAACGCAAUCACUGUCAGCUCAUCUGGGCCCUGUAACGCAGUCACUGUCAGCUCAUCUGGGCCCUGUAACGCAAACACUGUCAGCUCAUCUGGGCCCUGUAACGCAGUCACUGUCAGCUCAUCUGGGCCCUGUACCGCAGUCACUGUCAGCUCAUCUGGGCCCUGUAACGCAAACACUGUCAGCUCAUCUGGGCCCUGUAACGCAAUCACUGUCAGCUCAUCUGGGCCCUGUAACGCAAUCACUGUCAGCUCAUCUGGGCCCAGGUAGAGAUGAGUAAAUACAACUUGUGGAGUGAGGGACUGAAAUAAUGUGUUGCUCUGUAGUCAAUGUAAUUAGAUGUUUAUCUGGAGUUAAUUUAAUUAGAUGUUUAUCUCAAGUGAAUUUAUACCUGAAUCAUCUACAGGGAGAGAGGGAGGAGGGGACAGGUGGAGAGAGAGAUGGAUGGAUGAGCAGGGAGAGAGGGAUAGAGAUAGGGAUGGUUGGAGGUGGAGAGAGGGAAGUAGAGAGACUGAUGGAGGGAGGGGUGUAUGAGCAGGGAGAGCCGGGUAGAGAUAGGGAUGGAUGGAGGUGGAGAGAGGGAAGUAGAUAGACUGAUGGAGGGAGGGGUGUAUAGAUGUAUGAGCAGGGAGACAGCGUAGAGAUAGGGAUGAUAGAGGUGGAGAGAGGGGGGUAGAGAGACUGAUGGAGGGAGGGGUGUAUGAGCAGGGAGAGCCGGGUAGAGAUAGGGAUGGAUAGAGGUGGAGAGAGGGGGGUAGAGAGACUGACGGAGGGAGGGGUGUAUAGAUGUAUGAGCAGGGAGAGCCGGGUAGAGAUAGG